GACGAACGCUGGCGGCGUGCCUAAUACAUGCAAGUCGAACGCAGUGGGGACGGGUGAGUAACACGUGGGUAACCUCCCAUCAGAGGGGAUAACCCUUGGAUACAGGUGCUAAACCGAUACUGAUGGAUGGACUCGCUGUGCAUUAGCUAGUUGGUGAGGUAACGGCCCACCAAGGCUAAGAUGCCUAGCCGGUCGGAGAGGAUGACCGGCCACACUGGGACUGAGAUACGGCCCAGACUCCGACGGGAGGCAGCAGUGGGGAAUAUUCGGCAAUGGACGAAAGUCUGAUGGAGCAAUGCCGCGUGAGUGAAGAAGGGUUUAGGAUUGUAAAGCUCUGUUAGUAGAGAAGCGGUAUCUAACCAGAAAGCAACGGCUAACUACGUGCCAGCAGCCGCGGUAAUAC
rnacentral:rRNA from 1 species